GACGAACGCUGGCGGCGUGCCUAAUACAUGCAAGUCGAACGCAUUUUCUAUCACCUUAGCUCUCUACACCGAGAGAAAAUCGGUUGCGAACGGGGGAGUAACCCUUGCUUAACCUGCCCAUUAGCUGGGGAUAACCCUUGGUAACAGGUGCUAAUACCUCAUACCUCCAUUUUCCGCAUGGUAGAUCGAUGAUAGGCGCUCUUGCGGCUCUGUUGGAGGCACCUCCGGUGCAUUAGCUAGUAGGUGGUGUCACGGGCUACCAAGGCUGCGAUGCAUAGCCGGCCUGGGAGGGUGGUCGGCCACACUGGGACUGAGACACGGGCCAGAAUCCUAAGGGGGGGAGCAGGAGGGGAACUUUGGCAAAGGAGGGAAGGCUGAACGAGGCACGCCGGGUGGGGGGAGGAAGGUUUCGGGUCGGAAAAAUCCGUUGUUAGGGGAGAAAAAGAAUGGGAGUGAAAAGUGCACGCCUUGACGGUAUCUAACCAGAAAGCCACGGCUAACUACGUG
rnacentral:rRNA from 1 species